UUGGAGGGCAAGUCUGGUGCCAGCAGCCGCGGUAAUUCCAGCUCCAAUAGCGUAUAUUAAAGUUGUUGCAGUUAAAAAGCUCGUAGUUGAAUUUCGGGAUCAAUGGAUUGGUCAUGCCGUUGGUAUGUACUGAUUUUAUUGAUUCUCACCUUCUAAAGAAUCAUAAUGCCAUUAAUUUGGUGUUGUGAGGAAUUAGGACUGUUACCUUGAAAAAAUUAGAGUGUUUAAAGCAGGCUUACGCUUGAAUACAUUAGCAUGGAAUAACGAAAUAGGACAUCGCAUUCUAUUUUGUUGGUUUCUAGGAUCGAUGUAAUGAUUAAUAGGGAUAGUUGGGGGCAUUAGUAUUCAAUUGUCAGAGGUGAAAUUCUUGGAUUUAUUGAAGACUAACUACUGCGAAAGCAUUUGCCAAGGAUGUUUUCAUUAAUCAAGAACGAAAGUUAGGGGAUCGAAGACGAUCAGAUACCGUCGUAGUCUUAACCAUAAACUAUGCCGACUAGGGAUCGGAUGAUGUUAAUUUUUUAAUGACUCAUUCGGCGCCUUACGGGAAAC
rnacentral:rRNA from 1 species